rnacentral:rRNA from 1 species
AGUGAACGCUGGCGGUAGGCCUAACACAUGCAAGUCGAACGGCAGCACAGUAAGAGCUUGCUCUUACGGGUGGCGAGUGGCGGACGGGUGAGGAAUACAUCGGAAUCUACUUUUUCGUGGGGGAUAACGUAGGGAAACUUACGCUAAUACCGCAUACGACUUACGGGUGAAAGCAGGGGAUCUUCGGACCUUGCGCGAUUGAAUGAGCCGAUGUCGGAUUAGCUAGUUGGCGGGGUAAAGGCCCACCAAGGCGACGAUCCGUAGCUGGUCUGAGAGGAUGAUCAGCCACACUGGAACUGAGACACGGUCCAGACUCCUACGGGAGGCAGCAGUGGGGAAUAUUGGACAAAGGGCGCAAGCCUGAUCCAGCCAUACCGCGUGGGUGAAGAAGGCCUUCGGGUUGUAAAGCCCUUUUGUUGGGAAAGAAAAGCAGCAGGUUAAUACCCCGCUGUUCUGACGGUACCCAAAGAAUAAGCACCGGCUAACUUCGUG